rnacentral:rRNA from 1 species
GGCGAACGCUGGCGGCGUGCUUAACACAUGCAAGUCGAACGGAAAGGCCCUGCUUUUGUGGGGUGCUCGAGUGGCGAACGGGUGAGUAACACGUGAGUAACCUGCCCUUGACUUUGGGAUAACUUCAGGAAACUGGGGCUAAUACCGGAUAGGAGCUCCUGCUGCAUGGUGGGGGUUGGAAAGUUUCGGCGGUUGGGGAUGGACUCGCGGCUUAUCAGCUUGUUGGUGGGGUAGUGGCUUACCAAGGCUUUGACGGGUAGCCGGCCUGAGAGGGUGACCGGCCACAUUGGGACUGAGAUACGGCCCAGACUCCUACGGGAGGCAGCAGUGGGGAAUAUUGCACAAUGGGCGGAGGCCUGAUGCAGCAACGCCGCGUGCGGGAUGACGGCCUUCGGGUUGUAAACCGCUUUCGCCUGUGACGAAGCGUGAGUGACGGUAAUGGGUAAAGAAGCACCGGCUAACUACGUGCCAGCAGCCGCGGUGAUACGUAGGGUGCGAGCGUUGUCCGGAUUUAUUGGGCGUAAAGGGCUCGUAGGUGGUUGAUCGCGUCGGAAGUGUAAUCUUGGGGCUUAACCCUGAGCGUGCUUUCGAUACGGGUUGACUUGAGGAAGGUAGGGGAGAAUGGAAUUCCUGGUGGAGCGGUGGAAUGCGCAGAUAUCAGGAGGAACACCAGUGGCGAAGGCGGUUCUCUGGGCCUUUCCUGACGCUGAGGAGCGAAAGCGUGGGGAGCGAACAGGCUUAGAUACCCUGGUAGUCCACGCUGUAAACGGUGGGUACUAGGUGUGGGGUCCAUUCCACGGGUUCCGUGCCGUAGCUAACGCUUUAAGUACCCCGCCUGGGGAGUACGGCCGCAAGGCUAAAACUCAAAGGAAUUGACGGGGCCCCGCACAAGCGGCGGAGCAUGCGGAUUAAUUCGAUGCAACGCGUAGAACCUUACCUGGGUUUGACAUGGAUCGGGAGUGCUCAGAGAUGGGUGUGCCUCUUUUGGGGUCGGUUCACAGGUGGUGCAUGGCUGUCGUCAGCUCGUGUCGUGAGAUGUUGGGUUAAGUCCCGCAACGAGCGCAACCCUUGUUCACUGUUGCCAGCACGUUAUGGUGGGGACUCAGUGGAGACCGCCGGGGUCAACUCGGAGGAAGGUGGGGAUGACGUCAAGUCAUCAUGCCCCUUAUGUCCAGGGCUUCACGCAUGCUACAAUGGCUGGUACAGAGAGUGGCGAGCCUGUGAGGGUGAGCGAAUCUCGGAAAGCCGGUCUCAGUUCGGAUUGGGGUCUGCAACUCGACCUCAUGAAGUCGGAGUCGCUAGUAAUCGCAGAUCAGCAACGCUGCGGUGAAUACGUUCCCGGGGCU